rnacentral:rRNA from 1 species
UACGUAGGGGGCGAGCGUUGUCCGGAGUUACUGGGCGUAAAGCGCACGCAGGCGGUCUGCUAAGUUUGGAGUGACAGUUAGUGGCUUAACUGCCAAAGUGCUUCGAAAACUGACAGACUUGAGGGCUUCAGAGGGACACGGAAUUCCGGGUGGAGUGGUGAAAUGCGUAGAGAUCCGGAGGAACACCAAAGGCGAAGGCAGUGUCCUGGGGAGUACCUGACGCUCAGGUGCGAAAGCCAGGGGAGCGAACGGG